rnacentral:tRNA from 1 species
UCCUUCGUGGCGUAGUGGUCAGCGCGCUGGGCGCGUAUUCCAGAAGCUUGUGGUUCGAAUUCCGGCGAGGGCA